rnacentral:rRNA from 1 species
CCCUUAGACGUUCUGGGCCGCACGCGCGCUACACUGGUCGAUGCAACGAGUUUCUUUCCUUGGCCGACAGGCCUGGGCAAUCUUUGAACAUCGAUCGUGAUCGGGAUAGAUUCUUGUAAUUUUUGAUCUUAAACGAGGAAUUCCUAGUAAACGCAAGUCAUCAGCUUGCAUUGAUUACGUCCCUGCCCUUUGUACACACCGCCCGUCGCACCUACCGAUUGAAUGGUCCGGUGAAAUCUCCGGACUGGCGUGAGUCGGAGCAAUCUGACAAACACCGGAAAGUUGAUUAAACCUUACCAUUUAGAGGAAGGUGAAGUCGUAACA